CUGUUAGUUACAAAGCUGAGACCAAGAAUGAGAAAUGCUGACCCACCCCAGUGACCACACUCAACAGACGUGAGUCCCUCCCUCUUCCCAGAGGACCCUGCCUUCCUGUCUGCACUGCACAUCUCCCCAGAUUUCUGGAUUGAGAGUUGGGUUUGAAUCCCAGGUCUGUAAUACACUUCCUCGGUGGCCUCCAGUAACUGAGAACCUCUGGCGUCCAUUUGCUCGCUUGAAAAUGAAGAUGGACAAACUGCUCAUGGGUUGCCAAGCAGGUUAGUGAGGCCAUAGGGAGCUGGUCACAAAGGAGGUGCUCAGUAAAGGACAGCUGUGAUGAUGCCAUCCCCCAGACCUCCAGGAUGUGAAAACCAUUUUCCUUGUAGGGGGCCACAGAACCAGCAAGGAAUAUGCUUAAUUGGAUGAUAAUGGAUGAUCAACUAAAAGCAAGUCAGCUGGAUGUAACACACACAACAGAAAAACCCAAAAUGACAGGAGUUUAAAGAGGAGAGAAGUUCAUUUCUCACCCACAUAAAGAUGUCUGCAGCAGGCAGCCCAGGGCUGAAAGGAGAACUUCACACUUUGCUUGGGGAUCCACCUGCCUGUCUAUCUGAUCUGCUUUCUUCAAUGAAUGGCUUCCAUCCACAAGAUGCGUCACAAUCCAAGAAAUCGGUGGAAAUCCAUCCUCAAGUGCCCAUUCCAGGCAGGCGGCAGGACAGCAUGUGGAAGACAAAAACGAUGCUCCUCCCAACUGGGUCAGAAGCUUGAAACUCCUUUCCAAGAAGUUCCCUGUGCCACUUCUACUUAAAUCUCCGGCCGGAAGUUCAUCUUACGGCCUCAGCAGCUGCACAGGUUGCUGGAAAAUUGUUGCCUUUUGGGUGCAUUGCCACGUUGAAUAAAACCGAGGUUCAAUUUUAUUGAGAAAGUGGGGGAGGCUGGAUGUUGAGUGGCAACAAGCAACCUCUGCCACAAAUAGACAACCUUUCCUCACUCAACAGAUGCCGCACACUCUGCAGAGGAUGGGGUGAAAAGAGAAAGAAACGAAGAAAAACACAACACAGAGCCUGAUAUUCAGGGACUCAUGGUCUGACAGGGGAGACAGAUAUGUAAUAAAUGAGUUUAUUAGAGUGAUCACUGCACUCAUAAAAGUGUGUACUGCGAAGAUGGAUGGUACAAAGGGGGCUGUUGCCCAUUGAUCCUGAAGUUUGAUGAAGACAUAUCUCUUUAAGGUAAUGGCCUUUGCAACCAUGGAGACUUUCUCCAGGAAAACUGGAAGAGUGCAGACAAAGACAGAAGGUAUCGGGAAACUGAAGCUCAGAGAUAUUUCACAGUUUGCCUGAGGUUAAACAGCUACUCAUUAGUGAAGCCAGGAUUCAAGUUCAGACAAUGAGACCUCACACACUGCUCUUCUCUUUAAGCAGGAGCCUGAGUGUUACACGAAGCGCCUUCGUCUGUGCAGCUGGAGGUCCCUUUGCUGUAGUCUAGCAGAUGGUGCACUACAUGGAAGGGACAGAGAUCCUGUGACUAUAGGAAAUGGUCAAGACUCUCAGACUCUCAGUAUCUCCGCCUGCAAAAUGGGUUUAUAACAUUCUCCCUCCCACCCCACAAGACCCUGGGAGGACCACCUUUAGGA
ensembl:lncRNA